rnacentral:rRNA from 1 species
ACGCUCGACACCUACUGGAGGCAGCAGUCGGGAAUAUUGCGCAAUGGAGGAAACUCUGACGCAGUGACGCCGCGUGCAGGAAGAAGGUUUUCGGAUUGUAAGCUGCUUUAGACAGGGAAGAAAGAAAUGACAGUACCUGUAGAAUAAGCUCCGGCUAACUACGUGCCAGCAGCCGCGGUAAUCUGAGCGGGCUGGCAAGGC